rnacentral:rRNA from 1 species
UCAGUCGUACCGACGAGAAAUCAACUUAUCGUGUGCGAACUUGUGGGCGUGCGUGAGUUUCGGCCUCGCUGUUUGCAUGUUUGUGCGUUUUGGGUGUACUUUUUCGUAUGGUAGGCCAACGUCAGUUUCGAUUAUCAUAAAAUGACCGGCGGAAUGUAGCUUCAAUUUCGGUUGAAGUGUUAUAGCCUCUGGUAGAUGUGGUGAUUGAGACUGAGGAUUGCAACGAAUAUCCUUUGGGCUAUCCGUCUGGCCUCUGAAAGUUGCUCAGGUGCCGAAAGCGUGCUUACGGUCAUCUAAGAUAACGUUCAACAGGUUAGAACGUGAUUACA